rnacentral:rRNA from 1 species
CUACGGGAGGCUGCAGGCGAGAAAACUUUGCAAUGUGCAAAAGCACGACAAGGUUAAUCCGAGUGGUUUGUGCUAAACGAACCUUUUGACAGUCCUAGAAACACUGUUGAAUAAGGGGUGGGCAAGUUCUGGUGUCAGCCGCCGCGAGUAAAACCAGCACCUCAAGUGGUCAGGAUGAUUAUUGGGCCUAAAGCAUCCGUAGCCGGCUCUGUAAGUUUUCGGUUAAAUCUGUACGCUCAACGUACAGGCUGCCGGGAAUACUGCAGAGCUAGGGAGUGGGAGAGGUAGACGGUACUCGGUAGGAAGGGGUAAAAUCCUUUGAUCUAUUGAUGACCACCUGUGGCGAAGGCGGUCUACCAGAACACGUCCGACGGUGAGGGAUGAAAGCUGGGGGAGCAAACCGGAUUAGAUACCCUGGUAGUC